AGGUCAUGUAACGUCCUGUGUCCACUAUGUGUGUGUUGUACCCCACUUUGUGGCUUUGUCUCUAUGGCUUCUUUUGCAACCUGCGGCCGUCAGAGCCUUUCCUCACUGCCUACUUGAUGGGGCCAGAGAAGAACCUGACUGAAGCGCAGGUCGUCAGUGAGAUCUACCCAAUAUGGACAUACUCUUAUCUUGCAUUGCUGUUCCCCAUCUUCUUGGUCACGGACUAUCUCUGUUAUAAGCCUGUGUUACUGUUGCAGGCAACUAGCUAUGUGGUAACCUAUGUGAUGCUGCUCAAUGCUGAUGGCCUUCUGGCCAUGCAGCUGCUGGAAUUUUUCUUUGGACUUGCCACAGCCUCAGAGAUUGCUUACUACUCCUACAUCUACAGUGUGGUGGAGCCUGCCCACUAUCAGAAGGUGACGGCCUACUGCCGCAGCGUCACACUGUUUGGCUCAGCUGCUGGCUCGCUGACCGGCCAGCUCCUCCUGUCUUUAGCCGAAGUACAGCUGGUGCACCUCGUCUACGCCACGCUCGCAUCUGUUGCCAUAGCCUUUGUUGCCCCUUGGUUUUUGCCAAUGCCCAAACGGAGCCUGUUUUUCCACAAUAAUCCUGAGGCGCAAAGUAGCGUCACGGGUGCUCUGAUUAGGAAUGGUGACAAGUCCGAGAGCGAGGUGCCUCUACACCACAAGGGAACCAAGGUGUCCCUGUCUUCCGAGAAGACACAUAGAGGCCAUGGUCUCUGGGAGGUCUUAAAGAUGUUGUUGACUGACUUCCUGCACUGUUACAGACGAGGUCCCCUAUUAGCGUGGUCGGCCUGGUGGGCACUGGUCACCUGUGGAUACUUUCAAGUGGUCAACUAUGCACAAGCACUGUGGGAAAAUAUCCGCCCAUCUCAUGAAUUUGUCAUAUACAACGGCUACGUAGAAACAAUGUCCACUCUACUAGGGGCCGUUGCUGCUCUGCUGGUGGGUCAUCUGCCUGUGAGCUGGACUGUGUGGGGAGAACUACUUUUGUGUCUCCUCUCUCUGCUCAUGGCAGCAUGUUUGCUUAUCAUGGACAUGCUGCCAAACAUCUGGCUGUGUUACGGCUCCUACAUCCUUUUUAGAGCCAUCUAUAUGCUGUUAAUCACUGUGGCCACGUAUCAAAUAGCUGCAAGUCUUGACAUGCAGCGAUAUGCCCUAGUGUUUGGUGUCAACACUUUCCUGGCGUUGUUGCUUCAGACCUCACUCACUCUGCUGGUGGUUGACUCUGCCGGCCUCAGUCUUGACAUCUUUACCCAGUUCUUCAUCUACAGUGGCUAUUUUGCUGUGAUCUCUGCUAUCCUCCUCUUGGCCUGGCUCUAUAAAUUGGCCAGGAGGCGGCAAUCUGAUGGAGAGGUCCUUUCACGAAGUCCAGCAGACUUGGACAGCCUAUGAAAUAAUGUCAUGACAGAUUGACUAUUUUUGUCACGGCACUAUUGCCUUAUCUGUUACCUUGUUGGAAAAUGUUUACUUCUGACUAGAUAAAGUGGAGCAGCAGAGUGCUGGAAGAGGUGAGGGAGAGAUGGAAGUUGAUGAGCAAGAGCAGAGUCUUUACGGAGACACCAGUAGGAAGACACUGUCCUUCCAGAGUGGGCCAAACUUCCUCCUGUUCUUCUUUGAUGUGGCGGGGCUGUGGAUCUUUUUGCUCCAAAGUAGGGCUGCCCCCUUGCGGCUGAGGGAGAGGUUCCUCUUCACUGGGGCAGCACGGUUCUGCAAAAAAAUAUGAAUCAUAAUUUACCUGCUUAGAAUUGAGAUUGUGAUUGUCAGGGAGGAUUUUGUAUGUACGCACACAUCAUGUUCAUAUUUUCUUGGAAUAUUUUCAUUGAUCAACCAUCUCCUCACCAUUUGUUUAACUGGCGAGUAUUUCAUAUCCACAUAAAAACAAUUUCACAAGUUUCUUGAGUGGGACCUGUGACAAUUCCAAUUUACAUUUAACAGACUUUCUCAUGAUCUAGGUCAGGACUGGGCAACUGUUUUGACUCGGGGGCCACAUUUAGAGAAAAAAAAUGUGUCUGGGGGCCGAAAGGUCUGAUUGAAUGCUAAAAACGUUAACAGACCGCCCUAAAAUACAGAAUGGAAUUUUUAAAAUGUUUUUACUUAAUGAGACACCCAGAAUGUACAAACCCUGUUUCCAUAUGAGUUGGGAAAUUGUGUUAGAUGUAAAUAUAAACAGAAUCCAAUGAUUUGCAAAUCAUUUUCAAUCCAUAUUCAAUUGAAUGCACUAGAAAGACAACAUAUUUGAUGUUCAAACUCAUAAACUUUUAUUUUUUGCAAAUAAUAAUUAAGAUAGAAUUUCAUGGCUGCAACACGUGCCAAAGUAGUUGGGAAAGGGCAUGUUCACCACUGUGUUACAUCACCUUUUCUUUUAACAACACUCAAUAAACGUUUGGGAACCGAGGAAACUAAUCGUUGAAGCUUUGAAAGUUGAAUUCUUUCCCAUUCUGGUUUUAUGUAGAGCUUCAGUCCAACAGUCCGGGGUCUCCGCUGUCGUGUUUUAUGCUUCAUAAUGCGCCACACAUUUUCGAUGGGAGACAGGUCUGGACUGCAGGCGGGCCAGGAAAGUACCCGCACUCUGUUUUUACGAAGCCACGCUGUUGUAACACUUGUCUUGCUCAAAUAAGCAGGGGCGUCCAUGAUAACGUUGCUUGGAUGAAAACAUGUGUUGCUCCAAAACCUGUAUGUACCUUUCAGCAUUAAUGGUGCCUUCACAGAUGUGUAAGUUACCCAUGCCUUGGGCACUAAUACACCCCCAAACCAUCACAGAUGCUGGCUUUUCAACUUGGCGCCUAUAACAAUCCGAAUGGUUAUUUUCCUCUGUGUUCUGGAGGACACUAUGUCCUCUGUUUCCAAAUAUAAUUUGAAAUGUGGACUCAUCAGACCACAGAAAACCUUUCCACUUUGCAUCUGUCCAUCUUAGAAGACCUUGGGCCCAGGCAAGCCGGCGGCGUUUCAGGAUAUUGUUGAUAAAUGGGUCUGGCUUUGCAUAGUAGUUUUAACUUGCACUUACAAAUGUAGCGACCAACUGUAGUUACUGACAGUGGUUUUAUGAAGUGUUCCUGAGCCCAUGUGGUGAUAACCUUUACACACUGAUGUCGGUUUUUGGUGCAGUACUGCCUGAGGGAUCAAAAGUCUGUAAAAUCAUCGCUUACAUGCAGUGAUUUCUCAGAUUCUCUUAACUUUUUGAUGAUUUUACGGACCGUAGAUGGUAAAAUCCCAAAAUUCCUUGCAAUACCUCAUUGAGGAAUGUUGUUCUAAAACUGUUUGACGAUUUGCUUCCAAAGUGGUGACCCUCGCCCCAUCCUUGUUUGUGAAUUACUUAGCAUUUCAUGUAAGCUGCUUUUAUACCCAAUCAUGGCACCCACAUGUUUCAAAUUAGCCUGCACACCCGUGGGAUGUUCCAAAUAAGUGUUUGAUGGGCAUUCUUCAACUUUAUCAGUAUUUUUUGUCACCUUUCCCAACUUAUUUGUCACGUGUUGCUAGCAUCACAUUCUAAAGUUAAUGAUUGUUUGCAACAACAAAACAAGUUUAUCAGUUUGAACAUCAAAUAUGUUGUCUAUGUAACAUAUUCAACUGAAUAUGGGUUGAAUAUUAUUUGCAAAUCUAGUAUUCUGUUUAUAUUUACAUAUAACCAAUUUCCCAACUCAUAAGGAAACAGGGUUUGUACAUGAAAAUAAAGAAUGUGGGAUUUACAAUAUUAACUAUGAACAAUAAAACACUAAUGAAUGUCACACCCCCUCUCGAUCGACAUAUUUUCCAAUCAAGCGAAACGCAACAAAAAUGCAACAAACACAGUCAAAUAAUUAAACAAACUGAUAUAUCACUUAGCUUUAGAACUUUGUUGUAAAAUUCUCCUUCCGCGUCAGUCCCUGACACCUGCAUUUCAGGCUGGCCUCUCUGGAAACACUCUGUGGAAACGCAUGCGGCCCUUAAUAUGCCCAGGUCUGAUCUAGGUAAUAUGUAUUUGAUAUUCAUUUGUGAAAACUUUUCUCCACAGUCACAUUUAUAACCUACUUUCUCAGUAGGUCUACAAACUGUACGUGUACAGAUGUGUUCCGAGAUUGCACAUUAAACCCUCCACCUCUCACCCUGUCCAAAGGUACGAUACUCCAUCCAUCCAUUUCCUACCGCUUGUCCCUCUAAGGAAGGUGGCGGGCUGGAGCCUCUCAACUGCAGUCGAGCAGAAGUCACCACUUCAUUGCAGGACCAACACAGAUAGACAUGCUCACAUUCACACACUUGGCUAUCUUUAAAAAAUAUACACUGUUUAAAUAUACAACUUGAGAAGUGUUGAGUAGAAGUUAUCAUUAAAAAAACAACUAUUUCAGGGGUAAAUCCAAAAAAAGGGUUGAAUGCUAAUAUCAAUGUUUCCUACCUUUUAGAUAGUUAUUUUGCAAAUUUUUUAUUGGGGUUACCAUUAAAAUAAAAUAUAAUUAAAAGUAAA